UCUAGAUCAUACAUACAUACAUACAUACAUACAUACAAAUCAUAGGUGUAGCCAGAAGAUACAAUGACUGGGAAUGAGAAAUGUUGAUGUAAGCAGAUGGCGAACAGCUAGGGGAUGUGAGGAAACACAUUCUGGACCACCAAUAAGAAGACACAAGAGCCAUAUAAAAGGAGACACUCAGGGGGGAGGGAUGUAUAUUGCUUUUUAUACUGUGAUUGUCUGAUUUGUCUCUUUGUUUGUAUUUAUUUUUAUUCUUGUUGCUGUAACCUUUUGGAGGGUCCCUGAAGAAGCCCUUUGGGGCGAAACAUGUAGGAUUAUUCCUAGCAACUUAUUUUGUUUUGUUUUUAGCAUUUUUAUAC